UACGUAGGGUGCAAGCGUUGUCCGGAAUUAUUGGGCGUAAAGAGCUCGUAGGCGGUCUGUUGCGUCGGCUGUGAAAACCCGGGGCUCAACUCCGGGCCUGCAGCCGAUACGGGCAGACUAGAGUUCGGCAGGGGAGACUGGAGUUCCUGGUGUAGCGGUGAAAUGCGCAGAUAUCAGGAGGAACACCGGUGGCGAAGGCGGGUCUCUGGGCCGAUACUGACGCUGAGGAGCGAAAGCGUGGGGAGCGAACAGG
rnacentral:rRNA from 1 species